rnacentral:rRNA from 1 species
GAUGAACGCUAGCGGCAGGCUUAAUACAUGCAAGUCGAGGGGCAGCACGGGUAGCAAUACUUGGUGGCGACCGGCGCACGGGUGCGUAACACGUAUACAAUCUACCUAUAACAGGGGGAUAGCCUUUCGAAAGAGAGAUUAAUACCCCGUAACACACGAAACGGCAUCGUUUUUUGUUGAAAGUUCCGACGGCUAUAGAUGAGUAUGCGUCUGAUUAGCUAGUUGGUAGUGUAAUGGACUACCAAGGCGACGAUCAGUAGGGGAUCUGAGAGGACUAACCCCCACACUGGUACUGUGACACGGACCAGACUCCUACGGGAGGCAGCAGUAAGGAAUAUUGGACAAUGGUGGCAACACUGAUCCAGCCAUGCCGCGUGCAGGAAGACGGCCCUAUGGGUUGUAAACCGCUUUUGUACCAGAGAAAACCUAUCUACGUGUAGAUAGCUGAUGGUAUGGUAAGAAUAAGCAUCGGCUAACUUCGUGCCAGCCGCCGCAGUAACAC